AGUUUAAAGUUGGAACCGGCAGGUCUAAGCAUGUACCUAUGCAUAUAAACCCUUCGACAGAAGGCCAUUUGCUCGAGGGGUGUGUUGUGAUAGUUACAGUCCUUAGCGCUCUGUCUCUGUGUGAAUGGCAAUGGACUCGCACAUAGAGAAAGUGCUAUGGACGAAGUUCCAAAUCUCAAAAAGAGUGACAGAACUUGCCUCUCAAAUCUCUAACGAUUUUGCUUCCAUUUCACCUCCCCCUAUCAUAGUUGGCGUAGCUACUGGCGCUUUCUUGUUCCUGGCUGACUUAGUCAGGCAAAUUCAGUUGCCUGUCUCCGUUGAUUUCGUUCGCGCCGAAUCCUACGGUUCUGGCACCGAGUCCUCCGGUUCCCCUUCCAUUUCCAUGGACUUAAAGCUCGAUGUGAACGCCAAACACGUCAUUCUGGUUGAAGACAUUGUGGAUACAGGAAGCACUUUAUCUAGCCUCAUUUCACACUUGGAAUCCAAAGGAGCAAGUUCUGUAUCGGUUUGCACUUUUCUUGACAAGCCAGCUAGAAGGAAAGUUCAUUUUCAACUACUGGGUGAUGGAAAAUACUAUAGAGGGUUUGAGAAUUAAAGCUCACAUUCAAUCAAUGAGUGACUAGCUAACUACUACUCCCUUGUCAUGUAAUUGCAACUCCUCAACCUGUGCCCAGAUUACUUUGUUGUGGGUUACGGAAUGGACUUUGCUGAACUAUAUAGGAAUUUGCCUUAUGUUGGCGUCUUGAAGCCUGAAUAUUACCAGUGAUUUGAAGUUCAGAAAAAAAGAAAUUAACAUUUCAGGUGGAUACUCUUACUCAGUUAUGCUAGCUGUAACAUCUUGCAGAAGUUAGGAAUUGUUGGAAUUACAUAGCUAUUUUAUACUUCAAUUGAAGGGCAAAGUGCUUUAUAGGAAUGCAAAUGUAGUAAUGUACCUAUUCUUGGACCUACAUUUGGGUACUGAUGAAAAAACUUGUGUUUCUUAUACUUUAUGGCUUGAAUUGAGCUAUUAAGAGUUUAUGGUUA